GAAUCACUUCUGUGGGAUGUAUCCCUGUUCAUUUCCUGGUUGUGCUCAGGAACUCUGGUUAUGCAAGAUAAUCACAAUUGAGGGGAAAUAGGGUGAAGGAUAUAGGGAUCUCUCCAUAUUAUUUCUUCCAACUGCAUGGGACUCUACAAAGAUCUCACUACAAAAAGGUAAAAACAGAAGUGUGUCUACCUUUAUGGCACUACUAGAGGAAUUCAAAGAUUUCUGUUUGGUCCUACCCUGCCUUUAGCGGAGUGCAAAUACCAGUUCCAGGCUUGGGGAGAAUGCGACCUGAAUACCGCCUUGAAGACCAGAACUGGAAGUCUGAAGCGAGCCCUCCACAACGCCGACUGCCAGAAGACAGUCACCAUCUCCAAGCCCUGUGGCAAGCUGACUAAGCCCAAACCUCAAGCAGAAUCUAAGAAAAAGAAAAAGGAGGGGAAGAAGCAGGAGAAGAUGCUGGACUAAUAGAUGCCACCUUCUGUGGAACAUGAAAAGGACAUCAGCAAACAGGAUCAGUUAACUAUUGCAUUUAUACCUAUGUAGGCUUUUUAUUCAAAAAUUAUCUAUAGCUUAAGUACACAAUAGGCAGAAACAGAACAGAAAAAUUUUGUAGUAGUGUUUUUUUUAAAUGUAUACCAUAGGACCACUAGGGGCUUAUAAUAAAGGACUGUAAUCCUAUUUAGAAAGUUGACUUAUAGUACAUGAUACAUGGUAGAAAAUUGAGGUAAGUUUUUUGAAGUUAUGUGAUAUUUUACAUUUAAAAUCUUUUUUUUUUUACAUUUUUUUUCUUUUGGCAGCAAUUUACGUGUUAUGACCAUGUAAACUACUUUUCUUGUUAGAUAAUUUUUUCACCUAGACUUUUUUUCCCAAUUGAGAAAAAUCUAUACUAAACAAAGCAGCAAUAAAAUAUAAUCAUCCUAUCGGAGGAAAAUAUCUUGUUUUCUGCCAGUGGAUUAAAAAACAAAAAACAAAAAACUUUGGUCAGCAAAAUGGGGAAGGGGGCACAGCAUGCUCUAAUUCAAUGUUGACUUUUUUUAAGAAAAGCAUUAAAAGAAAUUCUUUACCUUUGGCAGGAA